rnacentral:lncRNA from 1 species
AAAAAUUGUGUCCCAUGUUGACCGUGAUUCUAUUAAUUUAUAUAAUUGUCUAGUCAUAAUACGAGUAACAUUUCCUAAAACUGGUGACAUAGAAAUAAUACGACCUGCAAUUCUAGCUAAAUUCCGAGCUGUCACCCAAGGAAGUUUAUUACUGACUUUCUCAAUAAUACUUAUUAAAUCCUUAAUCCUAUCUUCUGGAAUUUGAAUUGAAUAAUCUUUUGAAUUCCAUUUUAAACCUAACCAAAUUAAUUCUUGGCAUGGAGUCCAUGUUGAUUUCUCUAGAUUCGCUACAAAACCAGCCUUUGAUAAUGAAUUAAAAACAAAUUGCGAAUCACACAAACUUGACUGAAAAUCUUGAUUUGUACCCCAUCC